rnacentral:rRNA from 1 species
UACGGAGGGUGCAAGCGUUAUCCGGAUUCACUGGGUUUAAAGGGUGCGUAGGCGGACUUAUAAGUCAGUGGUGAAAGCCCGGAGCUUAACUUCGGAACUGCCAUUGAUACUGUAAGUCUUGAGUACACUUGAGGUGGGCGGAAUACAUCAUGUAGUGGUGAAAUACUUAGAUAUGAUGUAGAACACCGAUUGCGAAGGCAGCUCACUAAAUUGUAACUGACGCUGAGGCACGAAAGCGUGGGGAUCAAACAGG